GAUUUUCUCGCCAAAAACGUAAAC
rnacentral:siRNA from 1 species